UGAGAUCUUGUGUUUCUUGUAGGGCCUUCCAUAAGACCCGCAAACCAAUUUUUGGAAGCCCCAGCAACAUGCUGGGGUU
rnacentral:snRNA from 1 species